rnacentral:rRNA from 1 species
UACGUAGGGUGCGAGCGUUAAUCGGAAUUACUGGGCGUAAAGGGCGCGUAGGCGGUGAAGUAAGUCGGGUGUGAAAGCCCCGGGCUCAACCUGGGAACUGCAUCCGAUACUGCUUCGCUAGAGUAUGGUAGAGGGAAGCGGAAUUCCGGGUGUAGCGGUGAAAUGCGUAGAUAUCCGGAGGAACACCAGUGGCGAAGGCGGCUUCCUGGACCAAUACUGACGCUGAGGCGCGAAAGCGUGGGGAUCAAACAGG